GACAUGGCGAAACGGUAUCGCGUCCGCACUUCUUAAGUCUCAAUGAAGUAGUUCGGCGGAAGUCCCUGGUUCGACUCCAGGUUAGGUCA